AUGAUAACAAAGAACUUCCAAACAGCCAUUACACUGCAUGAGUAUGUGGGAAACUGCUCAUCAGUCAUUUACAACAGAGGGAAUUUCGCAAUCCUGGAAGAAGGACUAGUAAGUAUAGUCAAAGUGUUCCUCUUUCAUUUUCUCUUUCACCAUUUCCAUACUAGCCCGGUGUGUAACCAGAUAGCUUUCUAAGACCUCUGUUAGCAAGCAGAGUUUGGUGUGCAGGCACCAAUCCUAAUAUUACGGGAGCUCAGAGGUCUUUGAGUGCAGAGCAAAUAGCUUUUAAGAGCAAUGCCAAUUGCUAAAAGGAUCAUAUUACAAUAAUAGAUUUGAAAGCUUAUACUCCAAACAGCAUUGCGAAUGAGAGCUGACAACAGAGAUGAAUUUUGUGAGCUGCUAGGAGCAGAGCAGGACUUGCUUAUUGCACUAAUGAACGUGGCUUGUGGGAAAGCUGACACCUCAUUGAAAUCAGGCCUCUCAAUCACCCAUGAUUACUGUGGGACUCAGAAGGGAUGCAGAAGCAGCUACACGAUGCUGGAUGAGAAGACACCGGAAGCUAUUCAAAUGAGAAGAGAUGGAUGGAUAAUUCUGACGUUCUCAGCCUCAGUCUGGAGAGGGAUCUGGAAGGAGCUGGGAGCCUGCUCAGCUGUUGCUUGACGGACUGCUUUUCAUCCAUUUUGAGAGGAAGCCUCAGAAGCUGAGCUCUCGGUACUUUUCAGAAUGCUUGUGCUUUUGGGGAUUCCUAGUGCUUUUAUUUACUGUUUCAGAAUAUUUGCAUUCUGGUUUGCGUGUGACAUAUGCAUUGGAAGUAGCUUGAAAUCCUGGAGGUUUCUUUACCUGCAUGCCUAAAUACAGCAGCACCUUGCUUGGCAGACUGAAGAAAAGAUUGAGAGUGUUUUGGCUGUAAUUUCUGACCAUGGUCAAAUCAAGACCUCAGUUUCCCCAAUCACAGACUCCUCAUUUGGACCACACUUAAGCAACAACGGUUUAUGUCUCUAAAACAGAAGAGCUAUUAUCAACUAAGGUUAAAAUAUAUUCAGUCAAUCGGGUUCUGGUUUGGGGACGUUAUGGAUGUUAUGUAAAAUGAAGUACUGACAAAGUAGCACAGCAAUGAAAUUCUAUUUGUAAGUCCACUGGUUUCCAAACAACUGCUAAUGGCAACUUCUUUCUGGACAUCAACAGGGCGGGAAUGGAGGACGAAGUGAGGUGCAAGGGAGCAUGUGGCCCAGAAGAGGCAUACAAAUCCUGCCUACACACUCUAUGCGAACAGCCGGAGCUGACUCACGGGCAGCACAGGAUGAGUAUGUUCUGCAGCAGAUGCCACUCUGUGCUGUAUCCCGUGGCUUUCGUAUUUUACAAACAUCCUGCUGCCUCUCAAAUGUCUGUAAGAAUGGUUUUGAAAAUGUAAGCCAAAGAUAAGCAAUGCAAAGGUGUCUGCUUGAGUCCACAGGCAGGCAGAGCAAGAUCUUCAAAGGUCUGAAUGUUUGCCAUUCAUCUUAAUGGCAUGUUAUUACUAAAGUCAUGCAGCAAUACACGGGUUAGGGUUGUUAACUAUUUCAUUGCAGGGUAAAACUUGAAAGGAAAUGUUAAAUUGAUGAAUAGCCUGUAGGUAUACUUUAGUCAUUCUCAAUGCCAUCUCGUUUUGGCCUUAAAUUGCAGUAACAUUUUUAUCUGAGCUUCGUACUUGCAUUAUAAAGAACUGUCUAGAAAUUAUUUCCAGACUGAAUUAGCUGGUAUUCCGACUGUGAUGCUGCUUACCUGACCGUCUAUCUUUACAUCACAAUUUGGCACUUCUGUGGCCAUCAGUUUAUAAGAUUCAAGCUUCUGAGGAGAGCAAGUGGGGCAAAUCUUACGUGAUAACAAAGAUCAGCAAGAGCUACACAAUUAAAUUAAGACAGAAAAGGUUGAUGUGUUGUGUCUUGGCAAUUCUGCAAGUUUUGAGACAGAUGCUGUCAUCUAUUUAACUGAGGGAAGCAAAUGUCCCUUCUCCAACUAAAUGUAAAGUGGAGGGGGACUCCGAGUCAAGUAGAAAUUUACAGUAGAUCUACCAAAUUAUUUUUCCUAAGUGGGGCACUGCUGGGACUGCAAAAGAGCUUUUAAAGUCAAACUCAUUUUAUUAUAACAGAAACUGGAUCCUGUAGCUUUUUUAACAGAUAAAAUUUUGCAGCAUUUGGAAACAGAAUUCCUUCUCACCCACUGUGUCCUGGCAGAAAGGGUCCCUUUUUCGGGCUUCCUCCCAGUUCAGCAGCUCGGGAACUUUCUGUAUUGCACCAAAGCCUCCUCUGAGAAAGAUCCCUGAGACUCUAGGAAAUAUCUUUUGUCCCAUCACUGAGGCCUGGCUGUGUGUCUGCUCUUCUCAGCAGUUUGCCUGUCUCUGCCUGUGAUGCGGGCUCUGUGCCUGCUGAGUUCUCCUCAUAUCCUCACAGGAGUACUCCCACAUUUGACUCAGCAAUUAAUUAUUUUAAUUUUAUUGCUGUUUAACUGAAUUCAUAUACUAUACACUAUCUAAAAAAAUCGUGUGGAAAAUGAGAGAGGCUGAUUAGAGAGGAACUAUCUGCAGGGUGAGAGGAGAGGAAGCUGAAGGCUAUGAACUGUCAGAUGAAGGGAAUUUUAAGACUAGCUUGGCACUGAGUGUCUGUGGUGAAAGAAUAUCACGAAGAGCAGUCUCCAGCCAAGUCUUUGGGGGCUGGUUUCUUUGUUCUUCUUUGCUUUAGUGCUUAAUCCCAUAAAAACUGUACGUGGCAUUACUGAAAGAAAUGACCCAUGAAGAAGAUUGGUAUGGCUGUCAGAAACAGACAAAACAAUGAAGAUCUUUGGAAAGAGCUAUAGGAGAUCGGGUAGGAAGAGCUACGAGAAGUACAGAAAUAUCAAGCAUUGGCAGAAAGAGAAACAUGAAUGAAAAGAGAGAAACUGUACACGAUAAGGUGUUGCUUUGUAGUAAUGUUGGAAAUACAGUAAUAUAUUCCAACCUCUGCACAGAGUCUUCAAGAAAGGACUGCCUGCCUAGCAAAUUGAGUGGAUACUUCGGUCAGUGCACCUUGAGCUCCAGGAGGCUGUGCAAAGCAGAGCCCCAGCCAGUCCCCUGGUAACAGCAGGCCUCAGGCCGUGCAGCUGCCGGAGUAGAUGCCACACCAACAGGGCUCUCAUCACGGCAGGGAAACCAGGCUGCUGGCAGUGUGUGACAGGGGGAUGCUCUGGACACAAAGGUGCAACGCAGUGCCCUGCCUGCUGGGUUGGAAUCCCAGGCAGACAAGUGUCACGCUGCAGGACGUUUCUCGGAGAAGAGGGAGGGGUGUGGUUAUCGUUGUCAUUUCACCGUAGCAGAUAGAACGCUGUCUGGAGACACCGCCCUUGCUGGAAAAUUGAUUAAGGUCUGGAUUUGGAAGCAAAAGACCACCUCUGCUGCUUUGCUAACUGAUAAGAAGAAGUUGGUCUGUGUCUGCGGGAGGGACUUUCCCCAAAACUCUGCACCUGUGGAUACCAGCCAUCAGACACCGCCACUUCACAUGCACCUCCAGCUCUGAGGGUCCGCCAAAGUCAUCCUAGCUUGCAAGAUCCUAUCCUAUAUAAAGGACAAGAAAUAGGUGUGAGACAGGAGGCAGGAAAUGUGUCAUUUCACUAUAACUGUGCAGAAAAUGGUCAGAUGCUGUGGAUAGUCACUGGGGAAGCUGAGGGAGCCAUGCCCCUGAGCAUCCAUUCCAGCACAGCUCUAAAGGAGUCUAUGGCUGAGUUGCUUGGGAGGCAACACACCUAGCACAGAGAUACACACUUCUGCCAAGGAAGUCCUUCAGUCUUAGGAACUCCUAAAGAUCCACCUGACUUGAACAUCUUUUGCUUUUGUGGUGGAACUCAGCUGCAGAUCAUGGCAGGGAUCUUCACCAGCUUGACACAUUCACCAAAAGAAGAACAAUCUGAGCUAAUAAAAGAAGGAAAUGAAUUAGGAAGCAAUUUGUUGAACUGGAUUUUAUUCUUUACUAAAACUUAAAUCUUGUUUGAUCGGACUUUUGUUUUUAUUGCCUUGUUCUCAGCCUUUUUGCUGUGAUUUUAACAUUUCCUUUUUGGCUUUUGUAG
rnacentral:lncRNA from 1 species